UCUAGCGACAAUAGCGACAUGGCCCCACCUGAUCCCAUUCCGAACUCAGAAGUGAAACGUG
rnacentral:rRNA from 1 species